rnacentral:tRNA from 1 species
GCUCUGGUGGCACAAUGGUUAAGCACCUGGCUGCUAACCAAAAGAUCAGUGGUUUGAACCCACUCAGCAGCU